UACGUAGGGUGCGAGCGUUGUCCGGAAUUAUUGGGCGUAAAGAGCUUGUAGGUGACGGCCAGGUAGGUCCGCUGUGAAAACCUCGAGGCUCAACCUCGAGACCGUCGGCGGAAACCAUCUGGCUAGAAGUCCGGAAGAGGAGAGUGGAAUUCCUGGUGUAGCGGUGAAAUGCGCAGAUAUCAGGAAGAAUAUCCGUGGCGAAGGCGGCUGCUUCUGGGACGGUACUGACGCUGAGACGCGAAAGCGUGGGGAGCGAACGGAUUAGAUACCGA
rnacentral:rRNA from 1 species